GUUGGUGAAGAAUGUUACUGACUCUCAUGUUGGACACAUUUAAAAUUUAAAAUAGCAAAAGGCACAUCAAUGGGUAAUGAUUAACAUGUGUCUGAAGUUUGGUGACCCUAGCAUGUAAACUAUAAGAGAUAUGCUCCGGACAAAACCAUAAAAUACAUAUG